rnacentral:rRNA from 1 species
GACGAACGCUGGCGGCGUGCUUAACACAUGCAAGUCGAACGGAAAGGCCCCUUUGGGGGUACUCGAGUGGCGAACGGGUGAGUAACACGUGAGUAACCUGCCCUUGACUUCAGGAUAACUUCAGGAAACUGGGGCUAAUACCGGAUAGGAAUCCUUGCUGCAUGGUGGGGGUUGGAAAGCUUCGGCGGUUUUGGAUGGACUCGCGGCUUAUCAGCUUGUUGGUGGGGUAGUGGCUUACCAAGGCUUUGACGGGUAGCCGGCCUGAGAGGGCGACCGGCCACAUUGGGACUGAGAUACGGCCCAGACUCCUACGGGAGGCAGCAGUGGGGAAUAUUGCACAAGGGGCGGAAGCCUGAUGCAGCAACGCCGCGUGCGGGAUGACGGCCUUCGGGUUGUAAACCGCUUUCAGCAGGGGCGAAGCUUGUGGUGACGGUACCUGCAGAAGAAGCACCGGCUAACUACGUG